CAAAAACAUCUUUUCUUGUUAGUUUUUGAAGUAUGGCCUGCCCGCUGACAUUUGGUGUUGAAGGGCCGCGGUAUUUUGACCGUGCAAAGGUAGCAUAAUCAUUAGUUCUUUAAUUGUGAUCUGGAAUGAAUGGCUUGACGAGGCACGGGCUGUCUUAGUGUUGAAUGUUUUAUUGAAUUUGGUCUUUGAGUUAAAAUUCUUAGAUGUUUUUGUGGGACGAGAAGACCCUAUAGAGUUUGACAUUUGGUUUAUUUACUUGUUUGUUGUUUGUUUAUUUUUGGUGAGUGGGCUUUUUGUUUUGUUGGGGUGAUGGGAGGAAUGUACUUAACUCCUCUUAGUUUUGGUUAUAUUGAUUUAUAAUUGUUUGAUCCAUUUAUUUUGAUUGUAAGACUAAAUUACCUUAGGGAUAACAGCGUUAUCUUCCUUGAGAGUUCUUAUCGGCAGGGGGGUUUGCGACCUCGAUGUUGGAUUAAGGUGAAUUUUUGGUGUAGGGGCUGAAAAUUGUAUUAGGUCUGUUCGACCUUUGGAAUCUUACGUGAU
rnacentral:rRNA from 1 species